rnacentral:misc_RNA from 1 species
GAUGAAGAACGCAGCGAAAUGCGAUAAGUAAUGCGAAUUGCAGAAUUCAGUGAGUCAUCGAAUCUUUGAACGCACAUUGCGCCCUGUGGUAUUCCGCAGGGCAUGCCUGUUCGAGCGUCAUUUCAACCCUCAAGCUCUGCUUGGUGUUGGGCCCUGCCCGCUGCGGCCGGCCCUAAAGACAGUGGCGGUGCCGCCUGGCCCUGAGCGUAGUACAUCUCUCGCUCCAGUGCCCGGUGGUAGCCUGCCAGAACCCCAACUCUCGUGGUUGACCUCGGAUCAGGUAGGGAUACCCGCUAAACUUAAGCAUAUCAAUAAGCGGAGGA